rnacentral:rRNA from 1 species
UACGUAGGGGGCUAGCGUUGUCCGGAUUUAUUGGGCGUAAAGAGCGUGUAGGCGGCCAGGUAGGUCUGCUGUGAAAACUCGAGGCUCAACCUCGAGACGUCGGCGGAAACCAUCUGGCUAGAGUCCGGAAGAGGAGAGUGGGAUUCCUGGUGUAGCGGUGAAAUGCGUAGAGAUGUGGAGGAACACCGAUGGCGAAGGCAGCCCCCUGGGCUAACACUGACGCUCAUGCACGAAAGCGUGGGGAGCAAACAGG